GGAGGGGUAGCGAAGUGGCCAAACGCGGUUGACUGUAAAUCAAUUCUCUCUGAGUACGGCGGUUCGAAUCCGUCCUCCUCCACCA
rnacentral:tRNA from 1 species